CAGUCGCCGCGGGAACACGUAGGUGGCAAGCGUUGUCCGGAAUUAUUGGGCGUAAAGGGCUCGCAGGCGGUUUCUUAAGUCUGAUGUGAAAGCCCCCGGCUCAACCGGGGAGGGUCAUUGGGAACUGGGAAACUUGAGUGCAGAAGAGGAGAGUGGAAUUCCACGUGUAGCGGUGAAAUGCGUAGAGAUGUGGAGGAACACCAGUGGCGAAGGCGACUCUCUGGUCUGUAACUGACGCUGAGGAGCGGAAGCGUGGGGAGCGAACAGGAUUAGAUACCCGGUAGUCCCUGUCUCUUAUACA
rnacentral:rRNA from 1 species